GACGGAGGGAGCAAGCGUUGCUCGGAAUUAUUGGGCGUAAAGCGCGUGUAGGCGGCUAUUUAAGUCUGGUGUGAAAGCCCGGGGCCUAACCCCGGAAGUGCACUGGAUACUGGAUGGCUAGAGGACGGGAGAGGAGAGUGGAAUUCCUGGUGUAGGGGUGAAAUCCGUAGAUAUCAGGAGGAACAUCGGAAGCGAAGGCGGCUCUCUGGCCCGUAUCUGACGCUCAGACGCGAAAGCGUGGGUAGCAAACAGG
rnacentral:rRNA from 1 species